rnacentral:rRNA from 1 species
AUUGAACGCUGGCGGCAGGCCUAACACAUGCAAGUCGAGCGGAUGAAGGGAGCUUGCUCCUGGAUUCAGCGGCGGACGGGUGAGUAAUGCCUAGGAAUCUGCCUGGUCGUGGGGGAUAACGUCCGGAAACGGGCGCUAAUACCGCAUACGUCCUGAGGGAGAAAGUGGGGGAUCUUCGGACCUCACGCUAUCAGAUGAGCCUAGGUCGGAUUAGCUAGUUGGUGGGGUAAAGGCCUACCAAGGCGACGAUCCGUAACUGGUCUGAGAGGAUGAUCAGUCACACUGGAACUGAGACACGGUCCAGACUCCUACGGGAGGCAGCAGUGGGGAAUAUUGGACGAUGGGCGAAAGCCUGAUCCAGCCAUGCCGCGUGUGUGAAGAAGGUCUUCGGAUUGUAAAGCACUUUAAGUUGGGAGGAAGGGCAGUAAGUUAAUACCUUGCUGUAUUGACGUUACCAACAGAAUAAGCACCGGCUAACUUCGUG